CUCUGGUGGAAAAAGCAGGGAAUCUCACCCCUACGUGAGCAUCCAGAGUUUCCACAUCCAGGAUGCUUAACUGCUUCAUGAUUGCUCUGCCAGCGCUUCCAAACUGCAGCAAGUUCCCAACGGAGAAAGAGCUGGGGCAGAGCUCACUGCCUUUGAACUCCCGAACCAUCAGGAGCCAAGACAAACCUUUAAGGAGGAGCCCUCUGCACAGAAUGCAUGUAGGAUAUGAUGUAGGUUGCAGAAGAGCUUUUAUGAAACCUAUAACACAUGCCACAUGCUCCAUCCUGGAAAUGGAUUCGAUUUCCCAGUGGGAACGUGAAUGAUGUAGGCUACGUCCCAGUUGUCAUGUCCCAGUGCAAAUGCACCAGCAGACGCAGCUUGAAACAUGUAUACAAGAUGCCGCUUUACAGCAUCCCUUAUUCACCGGUACCUUGGAGACUCCAGUUCAUUGAAAGUAAUAAAACCAGAUCAUCAAAAGGAAUUCUUUUGA